CCUACGGGGUGCAGCAGUGAGGAAUAUUGGUCAAUGGACGCAAGUCUGAACCAGCCAUGCCGCGUGCAGGAAGACGGCUCUAUGAGUUGUAAACUGCUUUUGUACGAGGGUAAACGCAGAUACGCGUAUCUGUCUGAAAGUAUCGUACGAAUAAGGAUCGGCUAACUCCGUGCCAGCAGCCGCGGUAAUACGGAGGAUUCAAGCGUUAUCCGGAUUUAUUGGGUUUAAAGGGUGCGUAGGCGGUCGGAUAAGUUAGAGGUGAAAUCCCGAGGCUCAACUUCGGAAUUGCCUCUGAUACUGUGCGGCUAGAGAGUAGUUGCGGUAGGCGGAAUGUAUGGUGUAGCGGUGAAAUGCUUAGAGAUCAUACAGAACACCGAUUGCGAAGGCAGCUUACCAAGCUACUUCUGACGUUGAGGCACGAAAGCGUGGGGAGCAAACAGGAGUAGAUACCCGAGUAGUC
rnacentral:rRNA from 1 species